rnacentral:rRNA from 1 species
AUUGAACGCUGGCGGCAUGCCUUACACAUGCAAGUCGAACGGCAGCACGGGUGCUUGCACCUGGUGGCGAGUGGCGAACGGGUGAGUAAUACAUCGGAACAUGUCCUGUAGUGGGGGAUAGCCCGGCGAAAGCCGGAUUAAUACCGCAUACGAUCUACGGAUGAAAGCGGGGGACCUUCGGGCCUCGCGCUAUAGGGUUGGCCGAUAGCUGAUUAGCUGGUUGGUGGGGUAAGGGCCUACCAAGGCGACGAUCAGUAGCUGGUCUGAGAGGACGACCAGCCACACUGGGACUGAGACACGGCCCAGACUCCUACGGGAGGCAGCAGUGGGGAAUUUUGGACAAUGGGCGAAAGCCUGAUCCAGCAAUGCCGCGUGUGUGAAGAAGGCCUUCGGGUUGUAAAGCACUUUUGUCCGGAAAGAAAUCCUUGGCUCUAAUACAGUCGGGGGAUGACGGUACCGGAAGAAUAAGCACCGGCUAACUACGUG